GGCUCCGCCUCCGCCUCUAACCCCUCCCCGCCGGGCCCGGACCACGCUAGCCGCUGCCUAGCCCGGGCUCCCGGCAGGAGGGCGCCCGGGCCCAGUACCCGAGUGCCCCGGUCUCUAGAGGGCUACGGAGCGCGUCUGCCUCCAGGACCGGGUAUUUGACUGAGCAGCCUGCGAAGUAGAGCGCGGAAGGUCCGCAGUGGGUGCGGCGCGGCGCAGUCGGGGCUAGCCCACUUGCUCAGCGUAGCUUUUCUAGAGCGUCGGGGGUCUCGAGGGGCCGGGGUUGGACAGCAGCUGCGCGACUCCGAGGGACUCUUCUCUGCAGAUCCAGGCCCGCACCUAUCUGCAGAUGUUCUUCCAUAGAGCAAUUCUCUGCACUUCUUAGAAACAACUGUUGCUUAUACAACUGUUGCUUAUAGCAGAAGACAGCCUUUAUCUCUUCCAGUGAUCCACAGACUUGAUGAAAUCAGUUCGGGCCUCAGAGAGAAGAUGAAUUGUAAGCAAAAUUCAAAAAUCACGAUUCUGGGGAAAAAGACCCCCAAAUCCAGAGCCCUGUAGUACCAGCCCUGCUAGUUCAACUGAAGGCUGCAGCAUGCCCUGAUCUAAACGGGAAAACACAACAAGGAAAAUAUCAGAAGCACAAGCCAGAGCUGUUGUCCUCCUUACUCAUCCACUCAUCCAUCAAGAUAAGUCAGAGAUCAAAAGGAAUUCCCUCUCCAUCCUCCAAGAAAGACACUUGAGGAGACAAUUAGUAACAUGGUGAGAGGAGCUGGAUCUCAAGUCCCCAAAGCACAAAGUAAGAAGCAGCCAGCUCUGCCAAGAGACAGGAAAAAACCCUGACUGGACCUUCAGAGACAGAUCAGGAGGAUCAAGGAAACUCCAAUCGAGCACAUCACAUGGGUAAAGUCUUCAGACUCUAUGCCUGGUCUGCAGGACAGUGGGCUAGCAAUUCAUAACGGUUGGAGCCUGGGUCAGGAGGGAGAGGAGCCCGUGUGGCUUGGGGAGGUGGCUGUCAAACAACCUGCUGAGGGACUUGAGCUUCAUUCUGGAAGACACAGGAAGAUGUGGCAGGGUUUUGAGAAGGGGUGUGGCUUUGCAAAGACUUCUUUGGCAGGAAGGAAAGUGUGCUAGGUUUCCACAGCAGCCAGCUUAUCAACGUUCCUCCAGCCCUGCUGAAUUCAGAAUCUCAGGACAUCUGUUCCUCCCGCCACCUUCCUGAUGGCCUACUCGUUUUAUUUUGAAGCACAUACAGUAUCUCUUCGUUUCCAGCAUCGUCCCCAUUAUCCACUACUUCCUCCCAACCGCGCUUUCUAAACUGCUGAGGAUGGAAGAGAAAGCAGACUGGACUUGCAGUAUACAUUUCACACUCUCAUCCAACAAGCAACUUAGCCGCUGACACACUGCCAGCUGGUCCCAUCAAGUCAGGUGGCAUGGGUCACCCAACAAGCUGCCUGUUGGAAUAGCUGGCUGUUACAUAGCCUGUUAAGAACCAGGCGAACAAGACCACCAAAAUGUGGCAGCUGCUGUCCAGACAAGACACCUUCAGGCAGAGCUGGGUGCAGCCCGGUGACUCGUGCAGACAACAUCUGGGUUUUAGUUGGAAGACGGCCUCUGCAUUGGAUGAAGCUCUUCCCACAGAAUGGCCUCUUCUCUGGUCUGGAAUCUGCUAGGACUCCAUCUUCCCACACUGGGUCCAUGCAUGGUGUCCAGAAGAUCAAAUCCUAUAUGUUGGAGUGUAUGCGUUCUGGAUAAGUUACGGAAAAGGCACAAGGAGGCAGAGGGACCCGAGGUCCCAGGACCUCAGACACAAGAACUGAUUUCUUAGCAGUGUAGCUGGUCUGUUUCAACAUAGGUAUCAGUUUUGGUGUUCUGUUUUCUCACAGCACCCCCACCAGUAAUGAAAGACUGGGCUAUUGUAGGGAACUCACACUGUGAUUGUGGAAGAGGGCUAUCCCACAGCCUCUGUGAACAUCAAGAAGACAAGGUUCUCUCAGGAACUUCUUUUGAGGGUCAGUGAGACAUUGGGGAAAUAUAAAAUACCGGACAAUGCUUCCUUCUCACCACAAUACAUUUCUGGAAGCCACAUGGAAAAUCCUAAAAUUGAUCUUCCCCGUGGGAUCUGUGUUAUAAUUGGACACUGCAUUCUUGACCAGAGACUUGGCAUCAGAUAAAUCACAGAUACUAAAUAUGUCACAGAGACAAGGACUCACAGUUUAAGGCAGUUGAGUUCUUAAACUCAGCUGAGCAUCAGAAUUGUCAAAGGAGAUUGAAUAAGAAAUACUGAUGCCUAGGUCCCAUCUGGAACCAGAUGAAGCCAGAUUUCCAUGGGUGGGUCCAGGUAACCAUUUAAAAAAAUAAUUUAGAGCUUUGUAUUUUGACUUAUCAAGAACCAAGAACAAAUAUAGGGAAAAAGUGUCAUCGGCACUUAAAAUAUUAGAAGGAGCCACACGGGAAAACAUGACAAGGGAGGAGGAAACUGCUGUCGUCACAUUUACUGUUAAAAACUGCAGCAAAUAAGAACAGUUUGGAUGAGAGAAGAAAAGGACAAGUCAAUUUUGAUUCUCUAAGGAGAAAGUCAGACCACCCCACCCCAUUUGAACAGUGAACCAUUGCUUUCUGUAUCCACGGUCCAAGGCUGACCUUGUCAGGGUACCAAUUCCUAAAGCUGACUGCAGAUGCCCUGUGGAUGGCUACCUUCCUCUCUGUGAUGGACUGCACCCUUGAGCCAGCCCAAAGAAACACUUCUUUCCCUGAGUCACAUUCACCGGGCAUUUUUUCACAGCAAAGAGGAAAGUGACUAACACAAGUUGUUACCCCAUUUCUGCUAGAUCUGGGCUCCUUUCAUUAGUCAACAUGACAUGGAUUGAACACCCACUCUGCCCUACUACUGAUCUACAAUGAAGGUGCCGGAACAAGGAAGUUAUGGGAACAAGACAGAGUUGGUUCAAAGAGAUGAUCGACAACAGCGCAGACAUGAAUGAGCAGGAUAAUGCAUGAUGACAGCCCAGUGAAGACCAUAAAGCAGAGGAUCCGGGGGCCAAGGAGAAUAUGUCUGCCCUGUGGUCAGGGAGGUCAACUUUUGGGGAAGUAUUUAACAUUGUCCCUGAGGCCUGUGCUUUGAAUCUUCUUGGCCCAUUUCUUAAUAUCAUGGCUCUCAUGACUUGAUCUUAGUGCCUUUCCUCCGCCAUUUCAGCUGUAGGACCCCAGGAAGGCUUCUCAGAGCCUCCCACAGCAAGCCAUAUGCUAUCCUACUACUUAUAAACCCACACUCUAUAAUGGUCCUUCACUCUGGCACCUCAUUAUAGAAAGUAGGAUGAAGUUGGCACCGAGAAUGAUUCCUAUUUGCUUCAGCCACAGUAAUCUCUUCAUUUUCUAAGACUUCAGUUAUGUGUGUUCAAUCAUCAUGGGAAAAUAUUGAAAAGAAAAUUAUUAGAAAUAAGCAGUUUAUUAAUUUAAGUGACUUUUAUUAUAGCAUUUUGUUAUAUGGCUCUACUUUGUUAUUAGUUGUUGGUAAUCAUUUACUAUGCUUUAUAAAUUAUUUGUCAAUAUUAAUAUUUGUUUAUAGGAGAAAAGAGUGCAUAUAGGAUUUGAUGCUAUCUGGGUUUCAAGCAUUCACUGGGGGUCUGGGAAUGGAUCCUCUGAGAUAAAAGGGGCAUGUCUCUUUUAAUACGCAUAAGGUUUACACUGCAGUACUGCUAAGUUCACUUUACUAUUUGGGACUCUGCUGAAAUUAUCUCUUUGCAGAGGAAGAGUAUCUCACCACCCACAUCAGCUUCCUCCUUCACCCAGAACAGAUUCCCAGAAAAUAAAAGUUCCUAAGACUGUUCUAGAAAGUUCAGAGACACAGAUGAGAACUUUGCUCUUUAAUCAUGCUUCAGGAAUGCAGGUGUUAUCUGUACACACUAUUAUCAAUUGUCUUUGAGAUCGCUGGCUAGAGUAAGCUUGGUCAUGAUUUCUAAUCAUUAGAGAUAGGUUGGGAGUUUUCAAUUCAUUUAUUCUCUUUAUUGUAGCUAAUUGAAGAAUACGUUGCCUUUGGAUUCAAAUAGCCAUUACUGGUUCUCUUUGCCAAGCCCUAUGCAAGACAUAUCUCCUUGGGAUUUUGUGAUGGCUUAGUGCUCUGUGUCAGGGAUAGAGAGGUGAGGCUCAGGUGAAUUAAGGGCUAGCUCAAAGUCAAAUGUAGGGGUAGAAACACGUGCAAGUCUUCUGACCCCAGUACAUGGACUUGCAGGCUGGAGCUCUCCUACCUUUCUUUUUACACACAGUAUUGACUCACAUCUUGAGGAAACUGAGGUUAAAUGUAAUGCGCAAGCAUUCAUCUUUGUAAAGAUUUGUUUCAUUGGGACCACUGGUUACAAGUGAAAGCUACAGUGGAUGUGUCCAUGACAUAGAUUAAACACGAUUACAGAGGAGGUGGUGUAUCCCUCACAUCUUGACUUCUCUUACGUUUAAUAUAACCCUGAAGAGGACACAGAAGUUCAAAUAGAGCAUAUGGCAUUCAUAAGGUUACAUACAUGUAAUCAUACAUGAUACUUUUAUUGUAAAUAAAAAACACUAUUUAUAAUGGCAACAAGUGCAUUAUACAGAUAAAACAUAGGACUGCAGCUUCAUUAUUUAUUAAAGGAAAGAAAAAAAAUCUACACAAGUGAUCGGGGAAACAUAGUCUUACUCUGGUGGCAUUUGUCCCUAGAUUGUCCCUAGAUUGCUUUACAGAUUUCAUCACAAUUCAAAUCAAAAUCAUAGCAGGAAUUUGUGGGAUUGUGAUAAACUCAUUUUGAGUUUUCUAUGAAAGUAAUAAAGGCUUUUGAGUAAUCAACACUGAAAAAGAAAACACAGGAAUGGGAGCACUCGACUAGUAAAUGAGACAUUGUUGAGAAGGUGCAGAACAAACAAAUAAACCGAUGGAGAAUCCCUAAAGCAAGGUCACUUGUGCUGCAGUGCACUGACAGAACUCAACACAGCAGCUGUUCUUCAUCGGAGAGGCUGCGACCAUGUAAAAUCAGGAAAUCUUCAAGAUCAGGCCUGUUGACCACUGAUGCUCCCUUACAGGGGAAAAGGUGGAGAGAACAUGGGGAAGCUUAUUACACCUUCUCUUGAGACUCCAGCUUUUUCUUCCUGAACCUCCCAGCCAGUUGUAUAUAAUUCUGUUCCACCUGCACAUGGUCUCAUAGUCUUGGGAGUAUACAGUCUGUGGCAGGCUAGUGGAAGGGAGUGACUCCAUAUUUGCAGUGGUGGGGAAGUCACCCAUCAUUGACAUUGGGAGUGGUUGUGUGGCUACUUUGGGGUCAUUAAUAUACCUAUAAAUAAUUCUUCACCCAUGCUCUGUAAGUAAAAAUAAAGUUAUUAACUCAC
rnacentral:sRNA from 1 species